GAUGAACGCUGGCGGCGUGCUUAAUACAUGCAAGUCGAACGGGGAGUUGUAUUUCGGUAUAACUUCCAGUGGCGAACGGGUGAGUAACGCGUUGGUGACCUGCCCCAAAGAGAGGGAUAACAGUUCGAAAGGACUGCUAAUACCGCAUGUGGUUUUUCGGAUUAGAUGCCGAAUUUCUAAAGGAGAAAUUCGCUUCGGGAGGGGCCUGCGUCCCAUCAGCUAGUUGGUAGGGUAACGGCCUACCAAGGCAGUGACGGGUAGGGGACCUGAGAGGGUGGCCCCCCACACUGACACUGAAACACGGGUCAGACACCUACGGGUGGCUG
rnacentral:rRNA from 1 species